UUUGUUUCUUACUAUGAUCAGUCUUGUUUCGACUAUUGGAUUUUAAGCACGCGUUUUCAUUAGCUCGCUUAGACACACAACCAAGCGUGUGCUACUAACAAACCCAUAUCAACAAUUCAAAUCACGAAAAAAAAAUCUAACUCAUCGCUGUUACAAGUGCAUUUCGAAAAAAGUUGGGUGUGUGGUUUUGAUUCUGUGUGGAAAAUUGGAUUUGACGGCUUUUACGAAACAGACAAAUUCGUCAGGGGAGAAAAUAUUGUUUGAGGUAGAAAUUGGGCAAGAAAGCGAAGCAAAAUGAAAUCGACACGGAAUGUUCGUUUAAUCACCGAUGUGAUUGCGAAACGUACAACGACAACCACAACGGCCACAGCAAAAGCAGCUACCGCUGAACAGUUAAACUACUAUGAGCCACAGUGUCCGCAUGCAGUUGUGCAGAAUGAAAACCAUUUAUCGAAUUCAUCAUCGACAGCGACGGCGGCCACCAUCGACACACCAUUUACCUAUGAAACUGCACGCCCUUACAGCGAAGUGCCGGGUCCAAAACCAUUGCCACUAUUGGGUAACACAUGGAGAUUGAUGCCGAUUAUUGGGCAGUUUCAAAUAUCGGACAUCGCACGCGUUUCAUACAUUUUACAUGAACGAUGGGGCCGAAUCGUUCGACUGGGCGGUUUGUUGGGACGGCCGGAUUUAUUGUUCGUCUACGAUGCCGAUGAAAUCGAAAAGUGUUAUCGCAACGAAGGUGUCACACCGUUUAGACCAUCGAUGCCGUGCUUAGUGCAAUACAAGGGAAUCGUUCGAAAUGAUUUCUUCGGCGAUUUGCCAGGAGUGGUUGGUGUUCACGGUGAACCAUGGCGUGAAUUCCGAUCCCGUGUUCAAAAGCCCGUUCUACAGCUAACUACAGUCAGACGAUACGUACGACCAUUGGAAGAAGUUACCGAUUAUUUCAUAGAAAGAUGCCAGCAAAUGUUAGACGAGAACAAUGAACUGCCCGACGAUUUCGAUAAUGAAAUUCACAAAUGGUCUUUGGAAUCCAUCGGUCGAGUUGCACUUGACGCACGUCUGGGUUGCUUGGAACCUAAUCUUAAUCCAAAAUCCGAACCACAGCAGAUUAUUAAUGCCGCUAAAUAUGCCCUGAGAAAUGUCGCUACACUCGAACUUAAAUUCCCAUUCUGGAGAUAUUUCCCGACGCCAUUGUGGUCAAAAUAUGUGAACAACAUGAAUUAUUUCGUCGAAAUUUGCAUGAAAUAUAUUCAAGCGGCUACCGCUAAAAUGAAGUCACGAUCACCAGCCGAACGGGCAGCCCUCGGCGAACCAUCGUUACUCGAGAAGGUCAUUUUAAGCGAAAAGAACGAGAAAAUCGCAUGUAUUAUGGCACUCGAUCUGAUUUUAGUCGGCAUCGAUACGAUUUCGAUGGCAGUUUGUUCGAUUCUCUAUCAGCUAUCCACACGGCAAGCAGAACAAGAAAAAGUCUACCAAGAAUUAUGCAGAGUUAUUCCUGAUCCGAACACACCAUUGACCUACCAAACACUUGAACAGUGCCACUAUCUGAAAGCGUUUAUUAAAGAAGUUUUUCGAGUGUACAGCACAGUCAUUGGAAAUGGUCGGACGUUGCAAGAAGACACAGUUAUCUGCGGUUAUAACAUACCGAAGGGAAUUCAAGUUGUGUUUCCAACAAUUGUCACAGGAACGAUGGAACAAUAUUGUAAAAAUGCCGACACUUUUCGGCCGGAACGAUGGUUGAAGACAACUCAAGGAGGCUCCGGUGAAUAUAUUCAUCCAUUUGCUUCACUGCCGUACGGAUAUGGAGCGAGAAUGUGCUUGGGACGACGCUUUGCCGACUUAGAAAUGCAAAUUCUAUUGGCUAAGUUGCUACGUACACACAAAUUGGAGUAUAAUUAUCAACCACUUGAUUAUGCCGUCACAUUCAUGUACGCACCCGAUGGCAAACUUAAAUUCAAAAUGACCAAACGUGACAAGUGAAUUGUUGAGUAGUUGUACGAAAAUUGAUAGUUUAGAAAAUGUAAGGUUUCAAAGGAAAAAGUAUUAAAAUAUCCAUCCCUUGAGUUUUUAUCGCUUAACCGAACAGACUGCGAGAGACAAACUGAUAAAAUUGAAGUAUGGAAUCAGCGAUAGUAUCGCAAUGACCUGUAUCUUUGGAUGCUGUUGGCCGAAUCGCUCUAUUCUAGUUCUCAAUCAAAUGCAUUGCACUCGAGUCAAAUUCACACAAACACAUUUUAAAUAUGAACACU